rnacentral:rRNA from 1 species
UACGUAGGUGGCAAGCGUUGUCCGGAUUUAUUGGGCUUAAAGGGUGCGUAGGCGGCCCUGUAAGUCAGUGCUGAAAUAUCCCGGCUUAACCGGGAGGGUGGCAUUGAUACUGCGGGGCUAGAGUACAGAUGAGGUAGGCGGAAUUGACGGUGUAGCGGUGAAAUGCUUAGAUAUCGUCAAGAACACCGAUAGCGAAGGCAGCUUACUAGGCUGUAACUGACGCUGAGGCACGAAAGUGUGGGGAUCAAACAGG